rnacentral:rRNA from 1 species
GACGAACGCUGGCGGCGUGCUUAACACAUGCAAGUCGAACGGAAAGGCCCUGCUUUUGUGGGGUGCUCGAGUGGCGAACGGGUGAGUAACACGUGAGUAACCUGCCCUUGACUUUGGGAUAACUUCAGGAAACUGGGGCUAAUACCGGAUAGGAGCUCCUGCUGCAUGGUGGGGGUUGGAAAGUUUCGGCGGUUGGGGAUGGACUCGCGGCUUAUCAGCUUGUUGGUGGGGUAGUGGCUUACCAAGGCUUUGACGGGUAGCCGGCCUGAGAGGGUGACCGGCCACAUUGGGACUGAGAGACGGCCCAGACUCCUACGGGAGGCAGCAGUGGGGAAUAUUGCACAAUGGCGGAAGCCUGAUGCAGCAACGCCGCGUGCGGGAUGACGGCCUUCGGGUUGUAAACCGCUUUCGCCUGUGACGAAGCGUGAGUGACGGUAAUGGGUAAAGAAGCACCGGCUAACUACGUG